rnacentral:ncRNA from 1 species
UUUUGUAGGGGUGCCAUUUGGCUGAGAUCAUACCCGUUAACCUGAUCUAGAUAAUGCUAGCGUAGGGAUGAAGAG